rnacentral:rRNA from 1 species
UACGUAGGGCGCAAGCGUUGUCCGGAAUUAUUGGGCGUAAAGAGCUCGUAGGCGGCUUGUCGCGUCGAUUGUGAAAGCCCGGGGCUUAACUCCGGGUCUGCAGUCGAUACGGGCAGGCUAGAGUGUGGUAGGGGAGAUCGGAAUUCCUGGUGUAGCGGUGGAAUGCGCAGAUAUCAGGAGGAACACCGGUGGCGAAGGCAGGUCUCUGGGCAGUAACUGACGCUGAGGAGCGAAAGCGUGGGGAGCGAACAGG